GUAAGCUGAGUGAUGCAGGCGUAAUGCAUUCUGAGUCAUUCUAAUGAAAUCCAUGGGUGCAAAUAGCGCGAUGAAUGUCGUGGGAUGUACAGACUGUUUGAGGAAGUCCAAACGUGAUAAGCAAGAUAUUAGGAGUUUUGUACAAAGUCAGAAG